rnacentral:lncRNA from 1 species
GAAGAACUAGCGCUUGUUUUGCUUAGAGCCAAGCCAUCCUUGAAACAGGAGCUUGAAGUUUGGUUAUGUAAUAUAAGAUAGUCCAACACAUGUAAAUAUUUUCUUUUAUCAUGUAUAAAGAAAAAGUCAGUAGGGGCCUCCCCUGCUAUUUUCCUCAAAGGCUUAAACUAGCACUAACCAAGGCCUAUGCCUUAUGCUAAUUGCCUUAAUCUUCUCUUUAGCACUUUGGUGGAUAGAGCACUUGUGUGUACGUGAGAACCAAGCCUAUAGCUUCUCCAACCUCUAACACCCUUGAAAUGGCUGGGCAAUGGGGUAUAUAUAGAGCCAACCCCAAAAACUAGUUGUUGCUCCAAUGGUUACCAAAAAUAGUGAUCAUCGACUUAUACUAUGGCCCUUCAUAGCCAUCACCAUAUCAAUAUGUGGUCACCAAUUUAUAAGAACUUCCAGAGCCGAAUUUGACCCGAUGCCAAGCUGACCGAUCACACCGAUUCAUACUAUGAUUGCAACAGUGAUCACCGUAUCAUUGUGUGCAAGGAUAUGAACUUCUAGAGCUGAAUUUGAGUCGAUGCUGAGCCGAGCCAAUCACACCAAUUCAUACCAUGAUUGCGAUUGUGAUCACCGUAUCAUCCUAUGAUGCGUGUUGACUUCAGACCUUGUCAAUCACCGAUUCAUACUAUGCCCCCUUCAUGGCCAUCACCG